CCACAAUUUUGGCGCGAAAAAAGUAAACUUUCUUUUGUUUUUGACGCCCUCAUUUCUUCUUCUGAAUAGCUAUGAAAGGCAGAACAAUCAAAAUUUAUCUUGGACAUUUACAUAAAAAGAAUGGAACAUUAUCCUGCAAAGCACUUUCUUCCAAAUGAUCAACGGCAUGGAUCUUAUUCACCAUCUGAAGAGCUAAAAAUUAAAUAAGAGCUGCUUAGGAAGUUAGCUGCAGUAACGAAGAUGUGUCAUCACAGUACAAUAAAUGUAAAAGCAUAUUCUUCAGCAAAAUAAGUGCCUUGCAUUAUUUACCACUACUGAACAAUUUUGAGCUGAUGAUACCUGGUAUUAUCGCUUUCCUUGGUCUGCGCAGAAUCUUGGAUGUGAAAGUGUAUGCAUCUUUGGUCCAAUGAAAUGAAAAAAAACUCAUUAAGGUAUACCAAGAAAAUGCUAGAUAUAAUUAGUAUGCAAACCUGUCUAGAAUCCCCAGCAUAUUCAAAAACAUCCGGAAUCCCAGAGACAAAUAAUUGCA